AUUUUGGGGAAAAUCCAAACAUGCAGGAUUCUAACGAAAGCCGAAAAGCGUGUGAUCUUGUCCCUUAAAUUGCAAAUCCCGAAUCUUAAUCGAUUCAAUUUUACAAAAGUUAUAGGUUGGUCUUGUUGGAAAAGAAAGGGUCCCUACAUCUAUCUACUCUCUCUUCCUAUUUCUCGUUAACUUUCAAGGUCGAAUGUUAAGAUUUCAGAUUCACUAGAUUAAUUAGAUUAGAAAAACAGAUUUGGUGAUAUUAUGUCCAUUGAAGAGUUUAACCGGUUAGUCAUACCAGUGGAAUCAUUACUGCUCCUUUUGGAAUGCUGGACUUGCAAAAGAUGUUUCUCUCCUAAUUUUGCCUGUACAUGUUGUGCACUUUGAUUCUUUUGGAAAGAUUUAAAGACAGG